rnacentral:rRNA from 1 species
AUUGAACGCUGGCGGCAGGCUUAACACAUGCAAGUCGAGCGGAGCGGCGGACGGGUGAGUAAUGCCUAGGAAUCUGCCUGGUAGUGGGGGAUAACGUCCGGAAACGGGCGCUAAUACCGCAUACUAUCAGAUGAGCCUAGGUCGGAUUAGCUAGUUGGUGGGGUAAAGGCCUACAAAGGCGCCGAUCCGUAACUGGUCUGAGAGGAUGAUCAGUCACACUGGAACGUAGACACGGUACAGAAUCCUACGAGAGGCAGCAGUGGGGAAUAUUGGACAAUUGGCGAAAGCCUGAUCCAGCCAUGCCACGUGUGUGAAGAAGGUGUUCGGAGUGUAAAGCACUUUAAGUUGGGAGGCGUUACCAACAGAAGAAGCACCGGCUAACUUCGUGCCAGCAGCCGCGGUAAUUC